rnacentral:rRNA from 1 species
CCUACGGGAGGCAGCAGUGGGGAAUAUUGCACAAUGGGCGCAAGCCUGAUGCAGCAACGCCGCGUGAAGGAUGAAGGCCUUCGGGUUGUAAACUUCUGUUCUAAGGGAAGAAACAAAUGACGGUACCUUAGGAGCAAGCCCCGGCUAACUACGUGCCAGCAGCCGCGGUAAUACGUAGGGGGCAAGCGUUAUCCGGAAUUAUUGGGCGUAAAGAGUGCGUAGGUGGUUACCUAAGCGCAAGGUUUAAUUUAGAGGCUCAACCUCUACUUGCCUUGCGAACUGGGCUACUUGAGUGCAGGAGAGGAAAGCGGAAUUCCUAGUGUAGCGGUGAAAUGCGUAGAUAUUAGGAGGAACACCAGCGGCGAAGGCGGCUUUCUGGACUGUAACUGACACUGAGGCACGAAAGCGUGGGUAGCAAACAGGAUUAGAUACCCUGGUAGUCCACGCCGUAAACGAUGAGCACUAGGUGUCGGGGUCGCAAGACUUCGGUGCCGCAGUUAACGCAUUAAGUGCUCCGCCUGGGGAGUACGCACGCAAGUGUAAAACUCAAAGGAAUUGACGGGGACCCGCACAAGCAGCGGAGCAUGUGGUUUAAUUCGAAGCAACGCGAAGAACCUUACCAGGGCUUGACAUCCUGCUGACAGGACCUUAACCGGUCCCUUCUUCGGACAGCAGAGACAGGUGGUGCAUGGUUGUCGUCAGCUCGUGUCGUGAGAUGUUGGGUUAAGUCCCGCAACGAGCGCAACCCUUGUCGCUAGUUACUAACAUUCAGUUGAGGACUCUAGCGAGACUGCCGAGGUCAACUCGGAGGAAGGUGGGGAUGACGUCAAAUCAUCAUGCCCCUUAUGUUCUGGGCUACACACGUGCUACAAUGGUCGGUACAAUGAGAGGCAAUACUGUGAAGUGGAGCAAAUCACCAAAACCGAUCCCAGUUCGGAUUGUAGGCUGCAACUCGCCUACAUGAAGUUGGAGUUGCUAGUAAUCGCAGAUCAGAAUGCUGCGGUGAAUGCGUUCCCGGGUCUUGUACACACCGCCCGUCACACCAUGGAAGUUGGGGGUGCCCAAAGUCGGUUAAUUAAUCUAUCGCCUAAGGCAAAACCAAUGACUGGGGUGAAGUCGUAACAAGGUAGCCGUUCGAGAACGAGCGGCUGGAUCA